UGAAAUUUAAAUAACUUGAAGUUUUGAAACUUGAAAUCUUGAUUUUGAAUACUUGAUUACUUGAAGUCUUGCUUGAAUUUGAAUACUACAAUUUGCAAACCCUUUGGCCUUUGCUGAUUUAUCGAUUUGUGCAAACCCUUUGUUGAUUUGUCAAUUUGCAAUUCAAAAAUUAAAAUUGAUUUGUCGAUUCUCUAGACAUUGGUUGCAAUUUGCAAACCCUUUGUUGACUGGCUUGAGUGUUGUUUCUUGUUUGAUGCAAGGAAUUGAUGUAUUUUGUGUUAUUAGUUAUUAUUUAUUGAUCGGUCGACAUUCAGUGAAUCAAUGUUUAAUUCAUAUGGAAAAGGAAAAUGGGAUUAUGGAUUUACUACUAAGAAUUGUGAUUUUUUUAUUGAUUCUAAUUGAAAAUUAAAUUAGGGCAUUGCAGAGUAUGAAACAGUUACAGAGUAAGGUUGUAUCAUAUGUUUAUUUAGUAUUUUGGGUUUUAUUGAUCUAUAUUUUCAUAUGUAUAUAAUUUUUACGUUUUAGUGCAUUUGCAUAUACAUUGAAUAAUUUUUAAUAUUAUUUAAUCAAAUUUUAAUAAACGAUCGGGCUAUUAUGAUUAUAUUGUUGAUUGUCGACAGUCAACAGUCAAAGUCAACAUCCACCCUAGUUGAACGUGGAUCCUGGAUUCACACCUGAUUGAGGGUCUUGAAUUUCAAAACACCUUUAUAUCUUAAACAUCUAUAUCCAACACCCAAACUAUUUUGUCCUCUUCCACCUAAGGUUUUUAGUUGUCCUACAUUCAUCCAUAUGCAUUGUCAUAAUAGAGGAAAGAUGGAUCCAAGAGCUCUUAGACGUGUCUUACAAGGUUAUUCACCUACCAAAAAGGUAACAGGUAUUAUCACCCUCCAAACAAAAUACUUUUUUGUAUGUAAGUAAUACCUUUUUCAAGAACAACUCUUUUUUCACCAAAAACUUCUCUACAAGAGGAAAAUGAAAAGCACAAAGAUCAAAUUUGAAAUGUACUGAUUAUUGUUCAAUCUUCUAGUCACGAGUCUCCAAUAUUCUUUCUGUGCAAUCUUCUUUGGAUCAUGAGUAUUGUGUCAUUUAACUUCCCCAUGAGUCUCAUAUUGUUCAAGCAUAUGAUCAUAACUCUAUUUCUCACUUUUCUCCAUUGGAUCCUAUCAUUCCAUUUGAGUGUGUACAAAAUAGAACUAAAUCUCACUGAAGGAAGAACAAGUGAUGACUUUCUCAACAAAUGAGCAAGAAAAAUUUCUAGAAAAUUCCAGUACUCCACAGGAAGCAACGACUAUUCCAAGACGGAAGUGGGUUAUAAAAGAGGCAACAAGGGCGUUGCAAAAGAGUGGUACAUGACAACUAGUUGAUCUUAUGCCCAAAAGGAAAUGGGUGGGAUCUAAAUGGAUGUUUACUCUUAAACACAAAGCUGAUGGGACAGUUGAAAGAUAUAUGGCAAGACUCAUAAGUAAAUGAUUUAUAUAGGCUAGUGAAAUUGCUCCUAGAAUACAUUAGCUCUAGUAGAAAAAAUGAGGAUAAACAUUGCCUAAGCCGUGUGAUUCGAAAUUUAUAAUGUAUUCUCCAUUGAAAGUUAAUAUAGAUGUAGUUUAGUAAUUGGUGCUCCA